GAUGGCUCUGUCUGGAGAAGUGGCAGUGGCUGGACAGGUGGCAGUGUGAUUGCUGGCUCUUGUGCAGCCACACGGUGGGCAGUCUCAAAAGACAGACCCUGGUCUUAUGUCAACCUCAAGGGAGCAGGCAAUCGAUUCUGCCGAGGACGGCACAGCCUCAAUCACACAAGGACAGGUAAAUGAAGCGAGUUGUCCUCUUUGCCUUUCUCAUCUAUUUCAGGUCAAAGGCAGUCUGUUG